rnacentral:tmRNA from 1 species
GGGGGCGAUCAGGUUUCGACGGGGUUAGUUGAGACCAUGGCUGCAGGCCGAGCGACCCGGUGACUCGUUAAUCCACAGGGAACUAAACACAAAAGCAGACUCUUACGAGUACGCUCUAGCGGCAUAACGCUAGCGCUCCAAGCGAAACGUGGCCCGCGGUUCGUUUGGGGCGUGGAUAAAAGGGCUGGUCGAACAAGGAACUCAUCCCGGCUUGUUCGGUGAGAAAAACGGGGUGACAGCCGAGAGGCAGCCUUUCCGCCGGCGUCCUCAAGGUUAAAACCAAAUGACGGAAUAUGCCUGUAGACGUCAUGGGGGAAGAACUUCGGACGCGGGUUCGAUUCCCGCCGCCUCCACCA